GCCGGGCGGUGUCACGCCCGCGUGUAACCCGAGUGGGGGCUGGGUGGUGGAGGACUGUGCCCGCACGGCGCCUUCCUAUCCGCUUGUCGAAAGGUGUCUGAGCGAAAGUAGUCGUGGCCGUUGUUUCGUCGUGCAGGCGACGAAACUCUGGCCUUAAAACUCCGUGCAACGAGGUAGGCUCGCCAGAGAGCACCUAAAAACGGAUGCGGCAGCUAGUCGCCAGACUGCACCUGAAGGCGGG
rnacentral:SRP_RNA from 1 species